GAUGACGUAUACGGUGUGACGCCUGCCCGGUGCCGGAAGGUUAAUUGAUGGGGUUAGACUUUGGUCGAAGCUCUUGAUCGAAGCCCCGGUAAACGGCGGCCGUAACUAUAACGGUCCUAAGGUAGCGAAAUUCCUUGUCGGGUAAGUUCCGACCUGCACGAAUGGCGUAAUGAUGGCCACGCUGUCUCCACCCGAGACUCAGUGAAAUUGAAAUCGCUGUGAAGAUGCAGUGUACCCGCGGCUAGACGGAAAGACCCCGUGAACCUUUACUACAGCUUGGCACUGAACAUUGACCCUACAUGUGUAGGAUAGGUGGGAGGCUUUGAAGCACGUACGCCAGUAUGUGUGGAGCCGUCCUUGAAAUACCACCCUUGUAGUGUUGAUGUUCUAACGUCGACCCCUUAUCGGGGUUGCGGACAGUGCCUGGUGGGUAGUUUGACUGGGGCGGUCUCCUCCCAAAGAGUAACGGAGGAGCACGAAGGUGGGCUAAUCACGGUUGGACAUCGUGAGGUUAGUGCAAUGGCAUAAGCCCGCUUGACUGCGAGAAUGACAAUUCGAGCAGGUGCGAAAGCAGGUCAUAGUGAUCCGGUGGUUCUGAAUGGAAGGGCCAUCGCUCAACGGAUAAAAGGUACUCCGGGGAUAACAGGCUGAUACCGCCCAAGAGUUCAUAUCGACGGCGGUGUUUGGCACCUCGAUGUCGGCUCAUCACAUCCUGGGGCUGAAGUCGGUCCCAAGGGUAUGGCUGUUCGCCAUUUAAAGUGGUACGCGAGCUGGGUUUAGAACGUCGUGAGACAGUUCGGUCCCUAUCUGCCGUGGGCGUUGGAAGAUUGAAGGGGGCUGCUCCUAGUACGAGAGGACCGGAGUGGACGAACCUCUGGUGUUCGGGUUGUGUCGCCAGACGCAUUGCCCGGUAGCUAAGUUCGGAAUCGAUAACCGCUGAAAGCAUCUAAGCGGGAAGCGAGCCCUGAGAUGAGUCUUCCCUGAUACUUUAAGUAUCCUAAAGGGUUGUCGGAGACUACGACGUUGAUAGGUCAGGUGUGUAAGUGCUGUGAGGCAUUGAGCUAACUGAUACUAAUUGCCCGUGAGGCUUAACCAU
rnacentral:rRNA from 1 species